AGCAGCCGCGGUAAUUCCAGCUCCAAUAGCGUAUAUUAAAGUUGUUGCAGUUAAAAAGCUCGUAGUUGAAUUUUAGGCCUGGCCGGGCGGUCCGCCUUUGGCGAGUACUGUUCUGUGUCGGGUCUUACCUUCUGGUGAACCGGCAUGCUCUUUAUUGAGUGUAUCGGGGAGCCAGGACCAUUACCUUGAAAAAUUAGAGUGUUUAAAGCGGGCAUUUGCUUGAAUAGAUUAGCAUGGAAUAAUAGAAUAGGACGUUGGUUCUAUUUUGUUGGUCUAGGACCACCGUAAUGAUUAAUAGGGAUAGUUGGGGGCAUUAGUAUUCAAUUGUCAGAGGUGAAAUUCUUGGAUUUAUUGAAGACUAACUACUGCGAAAGCAUUUGCCAAGGAUGUUUUC
rnacentral:rRNA from 1 species